UACAGAGGGGGCAAGCGUUGUUCGGAAUUACUGGGCGUAAAGGGCGCGUAGGCGGCGCAACAAGUCACUUGUGAAAUCUCCGGGCUUAACCCGGAGCGGUCAAGUGAUACUGUCGUGCUAGAGUGCGGAAGGGGCUACUGGAAUUCUCGGUGUAGCGGUGAAAUGCGUAGAUAUCGAGAGGAACACCUGCGGCGAAGGCGGGUUGCUGGGCUGACACUGACGCUGGAAGCGCGAAAGCCUAGGGGAGCGAACGGG
rnacentral:rRNA from 1 species